UUUUUUUUGGGGGUGGGGUUAGUGGCGAACGGGUGAGUAACACGUGAGUAACCUGCCCCUCACUUCUGGAUAACCGCUUGAAAGGGUGGCUAAUACGGGGUGUUCUGGCCUGCUCGCAUGGGUGGGUUUGGAAAGAUUCGACCGGUUUUGGUUGUUUUGGUGGGGGAUGGGCUCGCGGCCUAUCAGCUUGUUGGUGGGGUGAUGGCCUGCCAAGGCUUUGACGGGUAGCCGGCCUGAGAGGGUGGGCGGUCACACUGGGACUGAGACACGGCCCAGACUCCUACGGGAGGCAGCAGUGGGGAAUAUUGCACAAUGGGCGCAAGCCUGAUGCAGCGACGCCGCGUGAGGGAUGGAGGCCUUCGGGUUGUGAACCUCUUUCGCCAGUGAAGAAGGUCCUGCUCUUUGUGGUGGGGUUGACGGUAGCUGGGUUAAUGAAGCGCCGGCUAACUAC
rnacentral:rRNA from 1 species